rnacentral:rRNA from 1 species
GUCGGUAAAACUCGUGCCAGCCACCGCGGUUACACGGGCGACUCAAGUUGAUUAAUACCGGCGUAAAGUGUGGUUAGGAAAAACCUCAACUAAAGCCAAAUGCCUUCCUCACUGUCAUACGUACUCGAAGGUAAGAAGCCCAAUUACGAAAGUAGCUUUACCCUUUCUGAACCCACGAAAGCUAUGGAACAAACUGGGAUUAGAUACCCCACUAUG